UACGUAGGUGGCAAGCGUUGUCCGGAAUUACUGGGCGUAAAGGGCGUGUAGGCGGCCUUUUAAGUCAGACGUGAAAUCCAUGGGCUUAACCCAUGAAUUGCGUUUGAAACUGGAGGGCUUGAGGAUCGGAGAGGGCAGUGGAAUUCCCAGUGUAGCGGUGAAAUGCGUAGAUAUUGGGAGGAACACCAGUGGCGAAGGCGACUGCCUGGACGACACCUGACGCUGAGGCGCGAAAGCUAGGGGAGCAAACGGG
rnacentral:rRNA from 2 species